GGUUAAGCGACUAAGCGUACACGGUGGAUGCCCUGGCAGUCAGAGGCGAUGAAGGACGUGCUAAUCUGCGAUAAGCGUCGGUAAGGUGAUAUGAACCGUUAUAACCGGCGAUUUCCGAAUGGGGAAACCCAGUGUGUUUCGACACACUAUCAUUAACUGAAUCCAUAGGUUAAUGAGGCGAACCGGGGGAACU
rnacentral:rRNA from 1 species